GUGCUCGCAAGAGCAGCACAUAUACUCAAAUUAGAACCACACAGAGAGUAGCAUGGCCCCCGUGGCAGGAGGACAUGCAAAUUGGUGAAGCAGUCCAUGUUCUU